rnacentral:rRNA from 1 species
CAGUAGCCACGGUAAUACGUAGGGUGCAAGCGUUAAUCGGAAUUACUGGGCGUAAAGCGUGCGCAGGCGGUUAUAUAAGACAGAUGUGAAAUCCCCGGGCUCAACCUGGGAACUGCAUUUGUGACUGUAUAGCUAGAGUACGGCAGAGGGGGAUGGAAUUCCGCGUGUAGCAGUGAAAUGCGUAGAUAUGCGGAGGAACACCGAUGGCGAAGGCAAUCCCCUGGGCCUGUACUGACGCUCAUGCACGAAAGCGUGGGGAGCAAACAGGAUUAGAUACCCGAGUAGUCCCUGUCUCUUAUAC